AUUGAACGCUGGCGGCAGGCUUAACACAUGCAAGUCGAGCGAGAGGCGGACGGGGGGGUAAUGACUGGGCAACUGCCUGAUGGAGGGGGAUAACUCCUGGAACCGGUAGCUAAUACCGCAUACCAUCAUAUAUGCCCAUAUGGGAUUAGCGAGUAGGUGGGGUAAUGGCUCACCUAGGCGACGAACCCUCACUGGUCUAAGAGGAUGACCAGCCACACUGGAACUGAGACACGGUCCAGACUCCUACGGGAGGCAGCAGUGGGGAAUAUUGCACAAUGGGCGAAAGCCUGAUGCAGCCAUGCCGCGUGUGUGAAGAAGGCCUUCGGGUUGUAAAGCACUUUCAGCGAGGAGGCGUUACUCGCAGAAGAAGCAACGGCUAACUCCGUGCCAGCAGCCGCGGUAAUUC
rnacentral:rRNA from 1 species